GACGAACGCUGGCGGCGUGCUUAACACAUGCAAGUCGAACGGUAAGGCCCUUCGGGGUACACGAGUGGCGAACGGGUGAGUAACACGUGGGUGAUCUGCCCUGCACUUCGGGAUAAGCCUGGGAAACUGGGUCUAAUACCGGAUAGGACCACUGCCUGCAUGGGUGGUGGUGGAAAGCUUUUGCGGUGUGGGAUGGGCCCGCGGCCUAUCAGCUUGUUGGUGGGGUGAUGGCCUACCAAGGCGACGACGGGUAGCCGGCCUGAGAGGGUGACCGGCCACGCUGGGACUGAGAGGCGGCCCAGAGUCCUACGGGAGGCAGCAGUGGGGGAGAUUGCACAAUGGGCGCAGGCCGGAUGCAGCGACGCCGCGUGAGGGAUGACGGCCUUCGGGUUGUAAACCUCUUUCAGCACCGACGAAGCGCAAGUGACGGUAGGUGCAGAAGAAGGACCGGCCAACUACGUGCCAGCCGCCGCCGUAA
rnacentral:rRNA from 1 species